rnacentral:tRNA from 1 species
AUUUUUCUAAUAUAAUUUUAGUAUAAGUGACUUCCAAUCACCUAGCCUUGGUUAAACCCCAAGGAAAAAUA